rnacentral:rRNA from 1 species
UGGGGAAUUUUGGACAAUGGGCGCAAGCCUGAUCCAGCCAUUCCGCGUGCGGGAAGAAGGCCUUCGGGUUGUAAACCGCUUUUGUCAGGGAAGAAAAGGUUCUGGCUAAUACCUGGGACUCAUGACGGUACCUGAAGAAUAAGCACCGGCUAACUACGUGCCAGCAGCCGCGGUAAUACGUAGGGUGCAAGCGUUAAUCGGAAUUACUGGGCGUAAAGCGUGCGCAGGCGGUUAUGCAAGACAGAGGUGAAAUCCCCGGGCUCAACCUGGGAACUGCCUUUGUGACUGCAUGGCUAGAGUACGGUAGAGGGGGAUGGAAUUCCGCGUGUAGCAGUGAAAUGCGUAGAUAUGCGGAGGAACACCGAUGGCGAAGGCAAUCCCCUGGACCUGUACUGACGCUCAUGCACGAAAGCGUGGGGAGCAAACAGG